AAAAUACAUUAGACAUUACUUUUUACUUGAAUGUUGUUGUGAUUCAAUCUACACAUAAGAUGGUUGACCCAAGGAAAAAUAGAAUUAUGAUAAAUUCUCUUCCAUGGGAAAUUGUUGUCUCUUGAGAAAGACGUACUAGAAAUUUUAUUCCUGUAGCACCAAACAUUACAGUAACAUGAUUUUACUAUGUAUUCUCCAUUUUUUGCAUGUGUCCAAUAAGCCCAUCAGGUGGUUUUCUCUUGCUUAAUACGAUACUAACAAUUUGUUUAGCUUUAAUAGGACAAAGAAACUCCAAAUUACUUACACAUUCCACACACGGCUUGUACAAAAACUUAACUUAACCUGAAACUAUAUUGAAAUAAUAUUGGAACAAUAUUGAAAACGAAUCAUAGUAAUUCAAAAGAGAAUAAUUAUUAAUGACA
rnacentral:lncRNA from 1 species